rnacentral:rRNA from 1 species
UACGAAGGGGGCUAGCGUUGUUCGGAAUUACUGGGCGUAAAGCGUGCGCAGGCGGCUUCUCAAGUCAGGGGUGAAAGCCCAGAGCUCAACUCUGGAAUUGCCUUUGAGACUGAGAGGCUUGAGUGCGGGAGAGGUGAGUGGAAUUCCCAGUGUAGAGGUGAAAUUCGUAGAUAUUGGGAAGAACACCGGUGGCGAAGGCGGCUCACUGGCCCGUAACUGACGCUCAGGCACGACAGCGUGGGGAGCAAACAGG